rnacentral:rRNA from 1 species
AUACGUAGGAUGCAAGCGUUGUCCGGAAUUACUGGGCGUAAAGGGUCCGUAGGCGGUUUGUUAAGUCUCCUGUGAAAGUUCAGGGCUCAACCCUGAAAUGUCGGGGGAUACUGGCAAACUUGAGACUGUCAGAGGCAAGUGGAAUUCCCGGUGUAGUGGUGAAAUGCGUAGAUAUCGGGAGGAACACCAGUGGCGAAAGCGGCUUGCUGGGACAGUUCUGACGCUGAGGGACGAAAGCGUGGGUAGCAAACCGGAUUAGAAACCCGUGUAGUCC